GAAUUGAUUGCCUACAAUUCCACGAGCCAAUGGUCGUCCUCCGGAGCACCAAAGGCGCAGAAAACAUACCUUGAGUUGUGCGGGAGUGCAAAUCGAUUGUCAGAAUUGGGCAUAGGGGCGAAAGACCAAUCGAACCAUCUAGUAGCUGGUUCCCUCCGAAGUUUCCCUCAGGAUAGCUGGAGCACGCAACGUUUCGAAUCCUAUUCUUAUCUGGUAAAGCGAAUGAUUAGAGGCCUUAGGUUCGAAAUGAUCUUAACCUAUUCUCAAACUAUAAAUGGGUACGUACCAUAGCAUUCUUGCAUGAUGCUGUUGCAAACGUUGGUAAACGCCGGGUCGUCCCCUGUCAGGGCGUGCCACGGCGUAGAAGAUAUCUGUGUGCAUAGUGGGCCAAGUUUUGGUAAGCAGAACUGGUGCUGUGGGAUGAACCAAACGUAAUGUUACGGCGCCUAAAUAAACGACGCAUCAUAGAUACCAUGAAAGGUGUUAAUGGAUUUCUCCAGAAUACUUCUAAAGAUUAUUUCAGGGAUUUCUCCUGGUUUAUAUUCAAAGAACAUCAAGAAUUCCUCCAAGCAUUCCUUAUGAGAUUUCUCUAGUAAUACCUACUAGUCUUUAGAAAAAUCACUUGAAUUAUCACCAAAGGCAUUUUUGAAAGUAUCCUAGGAAGACUAUUCGGGAGAAACCCAGCAAGAAUGUCAAGAGAAAUCUUUAGAGGUUUUCCUGCAGGUA
rnacentral:ncRNA from 1 species